rnacentral:rRNA from 1 species
CCUACGGGAGGCAGCAGUGGGGAAUAUUGCGCAAUGGGCGAAAGCCUGAAGCAGCGACGCCGCGUGAGGGAUGAAGGUCUUCGGAUCGUAAACCUCUGUCAGCAGGGAAGAACGGUCACUGUGCUAAUCAGCAGUGAAUUGACGGUACCUGCACAGGAAGCACCGGCUAACUCCGUGCCAGCAGCCGCGUGAAUAAGGGGGGUGCGAGCGUUAAUGGGAAUUAAUGGGCGUAAAGCGGUCGUAGGCGGUAUGUCAAGUCAAGUGUGAAAUCCCCGCGCUCAACGUAGGAACUGCCUUUGAAAAUGGCAGACUGGAGUGUGUGAGAGGAUAGUGGAAUUCCAGGUGUAGGAGUGAAAUCCGUAGAGAUCUGGAGGAACAUCAGUGGCGAAGGCGACUAUCUGGCACAUAACUGACGCUGAGGAGCGAAAGCGUGGGUAGCAAACAGGAUUAGAUACCCCUGUAGUC